rnacentral:rRNA from 1 species
GUGGGGAAUAUUGGGCAAUGGGCGCAAGCCUGACCCAGCAACGCCGCGUGAAGGAAGAAGGCUUUCGGGUUGUAAACUUCUUUUACCAGGGACGAAACAAAUGACGGUACCUGGUGAAUAAGCCACGGCUAACUACGUGCCAGCAGCCGCGGUAAUACGUAGGUGGCGAGCGUUAUCCGGAUUUAUUGGGUGUAAAGGGCGUGUAGGCGGGACAGCAAGUCAGAUGUGAAAACCAGAGGCUCAACCUCUGGCCUGCAUUUGAAACUGUUGUUCUUGAGUGUCGGAGGGGUGAUCGGAAUUCCGUGUGUAGCGGUGAAAUGCGUAGAUAUACGGAGGAACACCAGUGGCGAAGGCGGAUUACUGGACGAUAACUGACGCUGAGGCGCGAAAGCGUGUGGAGCAAACAGGAUUAGAAACCCGGGUAGUCC